ACGUAGGUGGCAAGCGUUGUCCGGAUUUAUUGGGCGUAAAGCGCGCGCAGGCGGUCCUUUAAGUCUGAUGUGAAAUCUUGCGGCUCAACCGCAAGCGGUCAUUGGAAACUGGGGGACUUGAGUGCAGAAGAGGAAAGCGGAAUUCCACGUGUAGCGGUGAAAUGCGUAGAGAUGUGGAGGAACACCAGUGGCGAAGGCGGCUUUCUGGUCUGUAACUGACGCUGAGGCGCGAAAGCGUGGGGAGCAAACAGG
rnacentral:rRNA from 1 species